GGUGGCUUCCUAGUGGGUCAAUUGCUCCUGUGAUGGGCCUGGGAGAAGAUGAUUGGGAAUUUUCUACUUACUGUUGUCUCUCUGUGCUUCUUUUUAAGUGUGCAGGUGGCAGGUCUGAGUUGAAGUACUGUGCAGCAGCCAGUUGCUCAUCAUCUGUUCUCCUGCAAAGAAGAUGCAAGAAAUGUUGUAUGCACUGAGCAAAUAUGAGAAUCUGCAUGUCAGUAUGAACAGUAUGGCACUUUAAAGUGAGUAUGACAACUGUUUUUUUCUUUCUUUACAUCCAGUCACUUUUUUUUUUUUGUCAUCUUGCUAGUUCCCCAUAAGCGUAAAAUUAUUUGUAUUUGUUGAGAAGAUUUGAGAUUCUGUCAACUCCCUUGGUAUGUUUAGGCUGCCUUCUAAAUCUUUACAAAAGGAGAUGGUCUCAAAGAUCCUUCUUAUUGCACAGAUGCAUUUGGC
rnacentral:lncRNA from 1 species